rnacentral:rRNA from 1 species
AUGGCGUCCGACGACCUCUUCGAAGGCCUGCCUCCGCCAGCGGCGCCCGCCGGCGAAGACCGCGCCGCCUCCCCCGCGCCGCCUCCUCCUCCGCCGGAGGCUCCGGCGCCGAGGCGGUCCGCGCUGAAGAGCGCCCUCAAGCGCGACAAGCCCUCCCCCUCCUCGGCCGCCACCUCCUCCCCCUCACCCGCCGCGGCCGCCGCCAGCGUCGCGGCCCCCGAUGUCGCCCCCGAGGGCCGCGUUCCUGAGAAGCGCCUUCGCUUCAGAACUACUGUUGAUGCAUCAGAGAUGCAAAUCAUUGAAGCAAUGCAGAAGAUAACUUCACACAUAGGAAAUCCUUCAAAAUUCAGCAAGGCAUCGAAGCUAGCUCUACAGCUUAUUGAGGCUGGAAGUGUCAAGCCAGAGACAAUCAGUCACUUCUUUGCUGUACUAGAGGCUGCAAUGUCUUCACUGGGAGCCUGUAAUGAACCUUCUGUACGUGCAGAUUACCAGGCACUGUUUAAUGCCGCUGAGGGUGUAACAGAGUGUUUUAACAAACAGCAGAAAAAUCAGUUUGAUGUAUGGAUGCUUCAUGCGGUGGUAGCUAAUGAUCUCUGUACUGAUGACAGUUUUGUGUUCUCAAAGGCUGUAGGGAAGAUCAAAGAUGCCAUCUCAGCCCUGCCAGUAGCAACAGUGGACGAUGAUAACGAUGAAGCAGCAGCACUUGCAGCACUUGCUGAAAGCCAAUCUGGCACCACUGAGAAUAAGGCAGCUGAUAGCAACACACACGCUGCAGCGUCCAACUCGGGGGAAGAAUCAUCUGAUCCUUUCGGUCUAGAUGAUCUCCUCGAGCACAAGCCAAAGAAGUCUGGGAAGGCGGCUGAGGCCCUGAACAGACAGGCGGGCGAGGAGGAGUCCAGGAGACUUCUGGGGUCACGGCGCGAAGCCCUCCUGAAGUGUCUCGAGAUGGCUGCUCGGCGCUACAGGAUACCCUGGACGCAGACGACCAUCGACAUCCUGGGGCGGCACGCAUACGACAGCGUGGGGCGGUUCACGGCCCGGCAGCGGGAGGCGGUGGAGAAGCUGUGGAACUCGAUCAAGGAGCAGCAGAUCCGGCGCAAGCACGGCAAGUCGGCGAGCGGGAAGCUGGACGUGAACGCCUUCGAGCGCCUCCAGGAGAAGUACUCCCACGAGAAGAUCAGCAUCCGGCGCGCCGUCGGCGGCGCGGGCGACCGCCGCGCCACGCAGUGGCUCGGCUAA